CGGCCCCGGGUAGAGCCCCUAAUAGAUUUUGUUUGUUCUUUUCUUUUAUGCAUCAUCAUGGCAUAUGCAUCAUGCAUCAUAUCAUUCACAAGAUUUUAUCAAAUAAAAAUUAUUUUCAAAUAAAAACUAUUUCGUUUUCCUCUCAUAUGGUUUAAUAAACCCCCUCUCCUCUUUCAUUUAGCAAACCCUAAAAUCAAAACAGAUACAAAGAUUAUUUUAAUUACUUUGUUCUCUAUCUCCCCAUCUAUAUCAGUUUCAAAUUCAAACUUUGUUUGAAUUAAAUUCAAACUCAAUUAGCAAAACAGUUUUGAAAGAAAAGAGAAAAAGGUUUUAAAGAGAAAACCCCUCAUUCCCUCCCCCUGGGCCUUCUUCUUUUCUCCCCGACGCGGCCACCUUUCCUUCUCUCCUCUUCAGCCCAGCCCAGCCCACCUUGGCCACUUCGGCCCGUACCCCUUCGGCCACCACCUCUCCCUUUUUCCUGUCGUCAUCUUCCAGAGAGAGGCACGAGAGGAGCGUGCUGCCUUGGUCCUCCACCACAGCGCGUGGUCCUCCUUUUCCUCCCCUUUAUUCCUGGCACCAGCGCAUCCACGCCAACCCUCACCUGCUCCUCCUUAUCUCCUCCUCCCCUUUUCUUCUUCCUCUCCAAGCCAGGAACGAGAAGGAGCACAAACCCCCUGCCGCCGUCCACUUCCUCAUGGCGCCGCCGCUCCCCACCUUCCCUCGCCCUUCUGAGGACACCCAUAGAUGCGCCUCGACCUCCUCUUCAACCUGGUGCAAGCAAUCGAGCCGGGGUGCGCUAUUUCGCCGCCGAUGACCUUCUUCCCCAACCCCGGCCGCCGGCGUUUCUCGCUGAAUUUGGCCGCCACGGCCCUCCUCCGCCUUCCUCGACCUCACCGUCGCCUUCACGAUGUCCGCCGCCGCCACUCUCCGGCGACCUCCUCCUGGCGGCGCCGCUUCCAGAUGGUUCACGCCACCGAGCCGAAGCCGCGACGCCCUUCCUCGCUUCCUGGGGCGCCCUGUUUCGCCCGCGCGCGCCAUGCCGGCCCGCGGUGGUCACCGCCGCGUCUGGAACGCGCACGGCGUCGAACGCCUUGCGUGCGUGCGCUGAUGGUUGCCACGUCGUCUGCCCCAUCACCAGCCCUGGCCCACCUGUCAUCGACGUCGGCUAGAUCUCCCCUGGCAUUUGCUUCUUCCCGGAUAGGAUCGCGAAGUGGUGUUGUGAGAUACGACGAGUUCUCCGACAAGUUCAUCUUCAGCUUUUCACAGGCGAGCCCACCCCUUCACCUAUUUUACUUUUACAUGCUCUUUUGAUCUAUUGCUAUCCUUGUGUUGCGAUUCAGUUGUGUCACGUGUCCUAUCCACCUGUUACCUAUAUGUCCGAGAUACACCUCCUCGCCCUACCUAUUGUUUGUUGUUUGCCAGCUUUGCGAGUCGUAGGCGUGUUUAGGCUCUGUUGUUUAUCUCGAUCUGUUAUCGGGAUAUGUUGGGUUGUUGGGAGAUUUUCACAUGCUAUAUCAAUUGUUGGAGAUACGCAUGCUUUACUUAAUUGUUAACAACUAAAAUUGUAAGCAGAGGCAUCUGUGAGCCCCUUUGCGAAAGCAUCGGAACUUUGACUUGCUAAUGUCCCCUAGGACCCGAGUUCUUGUUAUCUGUUCCGAGAUUGAGCGCUCUACCCGUACGUGGGGGAGUGGGACCCCCAUCACCCACUACCUUUCCUCGAGUCUGUUUAUUGGGAGCCACAACCUUGGUUUUAUUUGCUCAUAUGCACGAUGCACGAUUUACUUCCUGUUGCCUUCGGGUGUUUAUAUUAUGUACUGUACUCAUAUCGUGGAACGAUUAGCGAAAGCAGGUUGUUCACACUUAGCUUAGCCGUUGGCACAAACCUCCGGGUCCAGUAUCGAGUACGGUCGAACUUCGUCACGGGUAGCUUAGUUGGGUGGCUCCCAUUAAACUUUCUCUUGCAUUGGGAACGGUCUUGAUGUGAGACUCCACCUGUAGUAAGUGGGUUCGAGCAUGCGUAUGGUUACAUUUGGGCAACCCCUGCAGGGUGUACAUCUUAUCGAUAAGCCGUGUCCGCGGUUAUGGACGACUUGGAAUUGUAUAGCUUGAUCAUAGAACAACUUACACCUUUAUGUUGUUAAUAAUAAUUUGCUAAUAACUUGAUUAGUAAUUUAGCAUUACUACAACCGAUACCUAAUAAAACUUGUCCACCGUUGAGUGCCUUUUACAUUGCCUCUUCGCAAUUGUU